rnacentral:rRNA from 1 species
UACGGAGGGGGCGAGCGUUGUCCGAAGUUACUGGGCGUAAAGCGCGUGUAGGCGGGUUGCCAAGUCCGCUGUGAAAGCCCGAGGCUCAACCUCGGAGGGUCGGUGGAUACUGGCAGUCUUGAAGUGGCUAGGGGGAGAUGGAAUUACCGGUGUAGCGGUGAAAUGCGUAGAGAUCGGUAGGAACACCAGUGGCGAAGGCGGUCUCCUGGAGCUAACUUGACGCUGAGACGCGAAAGCUGGGGGAGCGAACGGG